rnacentral:rRNA from 1 species
GCUGGCGGCGUGCUUAACACAUGCAAGUCGCACGAGAACGUUUCAGCUUGCUGAAACUAGUAAAGUGGCGCACGGGUGAGUAACGCGUGGGUAAUCUACCUCCGAAUUGGGGAUAACAUUGCGAAAGCGAUGCUAAUACCGAAUGACAUCUCAAUAACUCCGGUCUUUGAGAUCAAAGGUGGCCUCUCCAUGGAAGCUAUUGUUUGGAGAUGAGCCCGCGUACCAUUAGCUUGUUGGUAGGGUAAUGGCCUACCAAGGCGACGAUGGUUAGCUGGUCUGAGAGGAUGAUCAGCCACACUGGAACUGACACACGGUCCAGACUCCUACGGGAGGCAGCAGUGAGGAAUUUUGCGCAAUGGGGGAAACCCUGACGCA